rnacentral:rRNA from 2 species
UGGGGAAUAUUGGGCAAUGGGGGAAACCCUGACCCAGCGACGCCGCGUGAAGGAAGAAGGUCUUCGGAUUGUAAACUUUAGUCAACAGGGACGAAGAGGUGACGGUACCUGUGGAGGAAGCCACGGCUAACUACGUGCCAGCAGCCGCGGUAAUACGUAGGUGGCGAGCGUUAUCCGGAUUUACUGGGCGUAAAGGGCGAGUAGGCGGGAUGGCAAGUCAGAAGUGAAAAUUAUGGGCUCAACCCAUAACCUGCUUUUGAAACUGUCGUUCUUGAGAGUGGGAGAGGUAAAUGGAAUUCCCGGUGUAGCGGUGAAAUGCGUAGAUAUCGGGAGGAACAUCGGUGGCGAAGGCGAUUUACUGGACCACAACUGACGCUGAGGAGCGAAAGCGUGGGGAGCAAACAGG